rnacentral:lncRNA from 1 species
AUAUUUUUCCUUCAAGGCCCAGAAUUCUCACCUUGAAAUCUGUCACAUACAUACAUAAUAUCAUAUUUCUCAAUUAAAUAUUUGAUUGUGGUAAUUAUAUCCUGUUAUUAAACAAAUAUUACCAUUUGCAAAGUGCUAUCUACCUUGAGAUAUGCAAGCAAACCAUAUAAAUAUUCUGCCUUCCAAGUCCUUAUAGUCCCAAGUUAAUCAACCAUGUCAUCAAAUUGAAACAUUAAAAGGUAGGAAAAAAAUCACCAUCAAGAAACAAAGAAGCUGCUAUACUCAAAGGUAUUCUUUAACAACAGGUAAAUUCUCUGCAAGCCCAAAUCAACAUAACCCUGAGAGCUUUUGACUUUAAGACAACCCAAGGAGGAAUAGGGCAGAGAGGACAGUGGGCUGAGAGCAGGCAGGAGGUGAGAGGAGGAGGACGGAAUGAAAACAUCAGUGCUGAACACUCAUUCUGAUUUGAGUCCUAAUAGAAAGCACACUACAUCACAGGGAACUCGCUUUCUUAAAGAGGGUGUAUUUUUCUUUCCAAAUGACAAACCACAGUGCUGACAAAGUGAAUGUAUUUCUUCAAGUAAUGAACAGCACCUAGAAAAUGAAAACUUGGCCGGGUGCAGCGGCUCACGCCUGUAAUCUCAGCAUUUUAGGAGGCCGAGGCAGGCAGAUCACUUGAGGCCAGGAGUUUGAGACCAGCCUGGCCAUGAUGGAGAAACCCUGUUUCUACCAAAAAUACAAAAAUUAGCUGGGCGUGGUGGUGCACACCUGUAAUGCCAGCUAGCUGGGAGGCUGAGGCAGAAGAAAUGUUUGAACCCUGGAGGCAGAGGUUGCAGUGAACCGAGAUUGUGCCACUGCACUGUGGUCUGGGCCACAACAGUGAGACUCUGUCUCAAAAAAAAAAAAAAAAAAGAAAAGAAAAAGAAAUGAAAACUUGUCCUUUAAAAGAGGACACAGUUUGAGACCAGCCUGGGUAACAUAGUGAGACCCCAAGUCUACAAAAAAAAGGAAAAAGAAAAUUGAAAAAUAGCCAGGCUUGGUGGUGCAAACCUGUAGUCUAGCUACUGGGGAGGCUGAGGCAGGAGCAUCGCUUCAGCCCGGGAGUUUGAGGUUGCAGUGAGCUAUGAUUGCACCACUGCACUCUUUAGCCUGGGUGACAGGGUGAGACUCUGUCCAUUAUGCAGGGAAAAAAGAGGAUACAUUUUAACAUCUCCCCAAAUGACUACAGGAUACCCCAAAUGACUACAGGAUACCCCAAAUUUAAGCAAAAUAAUGGAAAAUACUUUGACCAGAACUUCUGACCAGCUAGAAAAGUUUUAGCUCAGGUGACAAAGCUGUCUGAAGCCUCAAGAAUGAAUUGAUGGUAGCCUAGGUACUAGAGCUACAGGGACAGUUCAUGUAGUUACAGCCCCUGUAGCAGCAACUCUUGGGCCACAAGAUGCAAAUACUUACUCUUGCUUCAUGGUAACAUAUCACACUAACAAACAGAUGCCAAUAAUAAGC